AUUGAACGCUGGCGGCAGGCCUAACACAUGCAAGUCGAGCGGUAGCACAGAGAGCUUGCUCUCGGGUGACGAGCGGCGGACGGGUGAGUAAUGUCUGGGAAACUGCCUGAUGGAGGGGGAUAACUACUGGAAACGGUAGCUAAUACCGCAUAACGUCGCAAGACCAAAGUGGGGGACCUUCGGUCCUCAUGCCAUCAGAUGUGCCCAGAUGGGAUUAGCUAGUAGGUGGGGUAACGGCUCACCUAGGCGACGAUCCCUAGCUGGUCUGAGAGGAUGACCAGCCACGCUGGAACUGAGACACGGUCCAGACUCCUACGGGAGGCAGCAGUGGGGAAUAUUGCACAAUGGGCGCAAGCCUGAUGCAGCCAUGCCGCGUGUGUGAAGAAGGCCUUCGGGUUGUAAAGCACUUUCAGCGGGGAGGAAGGCGGUGAGGUUAAUAACCUCAUCGAUUGACGUUACCCGCAGAAGAAGCACCGGCUAACUCCGUGCCAGCCGCCGCCGUAACAC
rnacentral:rRNA from 1 species